UGCCAGCCGCCGCGGUAAUACGGAGGGUCCAAGCGUUAAUCGGAAUUACUGGGCGUAAAGGGUGCGUAGGCGGUUAUAUUAGUCGGGUGUUAAAUUGUGGGGCUCAACCUCACAGCCGCAUUCGAAACGGUAUAACUAGAAGAUGUGAGAGGUGAACAGAACUCAUGGUGUAGGGGUGAAAUCCGUUGAUAUCAUGGGGAAUACCAAAUGCGAAGGCAGUUCGCUGGCACAUUCUUGACGCUGAGGCACGAAAGCGUGGGUAGCGAACGGGAUUAGAUA
rnacentral:rRNA from 1 species